rnacentral:rRNA from 1 species
AUUGAACGCUGGCGGCAGGCUUAACACAUGCAAGUCGAGCGGUAGAAAGUAGCUUGCUACUUUCGAGAGCGGCGGACGGGUGAGUAAUGCGUGGGAAUCUACCUGGUAGUGGGGGACAACAGUUGGAAACGACUGCUAAUACCGCAUACGCCCUACGGGGGAAAGCGGGGGAGUCUUCGGACCUCGUGCUAUCAGAUGAGCCCGCGUGAGAUUAGCUUGUUGGUGGGGUAAAGGCCUACCAAGGCGACGAUCUCUAGCUGGUCUGAGAGGAUGAUCAGCCACACUGGGACUGAGACACGGCCCAGACUCCUACGGGAGGCAGCAGUGGGGGAAUAUUGGACAAUGGGCGCAAGCCUGAUCCAGCCAUGCCGCGUGUGUGAAGAAGGCC